rnacentral:rRNA from 1 species
GACGUAGGUGGCGAACGUUAUCCGGAAUCAUUGGGCGUAAAGGGUGCGUAGAUGGCAUAGUAAGUUAUUGGUGGAAAAUCGAGGCUCAACCUCGUGGAAGCUAGUAAUACUGUUAUGCUAGAGUGCAGGAGAGGUUAACGGAACUCCAUGUGGAGCGGUAAAAUGUGUAGAGAUCCGGAGGAAUACCAGUGGCGCAAGCGGCGCUCUGGGUCGAGCCUGACACUGAGACGCGAAGGCAUGGGGAGCGAACGGG